UCGUGUGAUACAGUACAACAAAAAGUGCUGUGGUAUUCCUGUCAUAUUUAGCUCUGUCCAAACGCUAUGGUUUUAUCACACAAAAACAACAGAAAAAACACAUAUGACAUCUAAUGGUAAAUUCGUGUGAUACAGUACAACAAAAAGUGCUGUGGUAUUCCUGUCAUAUUUAGCUCUGUCCAAACGCUAUAUUUUAUCACACAAAAACAACAGAAAAAAACACACAUGGCAUCUAAUGGUAAAUUCGUGUGAUACAGUACAACAAAAAGUGCUGUGGUAUUCCUGUCAUAUUUAGCUCUGUCCAAACGCUAUGGUUUUAUCACACAAAAACAAGAGGAAAAACCACACAUGGCAUCUAAAGGUAAAUUCGUGUGAUACAGUACAACAAAAAGUGCUGUGGUAUUCCUGUCAUAUUUAGCUCUGUCCAAACGCUAUGGUUUUAUCACACAAAAACAAGAGGAAAAACCACACAUGGCAUCUAAUGGUAAAUUCGUGUGAUACAGUACAACAAAAAGUGCUGUGGUAUUCUUGUCAUAUUUAGCUCUGUCCAAUCGCUAUGGUUUUAUCACACAAAAACAACAGGAAAAACCACACAUGGCAUCUAAUGGUAAAUUCAUGUGAUACAGUACAACAAAAAGUGCUGUGGUAUUCCUGUCAUAUUUAGCUACACUCAUUUGUUGUGUGGUAGUUUCCUGUUGUACUGAAGCAGUACCACAGGAUUACCACUGGACUUUUUUGUAAGGAGACUUUUGCAAACUUGAAACUAACCCUCAGCUGACGCACACAGACAUCAAGAAUCAGCGUAUGAUUCUCAACUAUGGUGACAAAAGAAAAUGGGAAACAGUUCAUCUGCAUAAUUUAUUCAUGCUGCAAUGCAUGCUGGGAGUCAUGAAUGAGUUUUGUAUUAUGCUGAUACCCAGCAUGCAUUGCAGCAUGAAGCUUUUCAUUUGAUAGUCACCAUUGUUGAGAUUCAUAGCCUGAUUCUUGAUGUCUGUGUGUGUAUUUUGCUCGUGUUUUUUAUUUCAUGUAUUCCCAAUGUUUUUAAGAUUCAUCUGGCUACCUCAACACUGAGUUUCUGUCACAUUAUAAGACUACUAUAAGGGGUUGCCACCCAUCUAAUCACGUAUGAGCUUCUGUAUAAAGUCAGUAAAUUACUUUUAACUCAUGACACUAACACCAUAAUGGUCAUAAGUCAGUGAUAAUAUUUUAUUUAUACUUUUUUGCCAUAUCCAUUGUCUUUCAAAUCACAUUGAAAUAGCAUGAACAGAUGUUACACCAAAGGGCCAAACCAAAGAUCAAGAGUCCUACUAAAGCAAACACCGAUCACGAGAAUGGUAACUAUUAUUUAGGGAUCAUUAGACGACUAGAGCUGUCCAAACUCAAAACAACUUCCACUGACAUAUCUUAAAAUACAUCAGUGCCCUUUGUUUUGCCUGAAAAUACACAAGUAAUGUUUUUAGUUAGGCAUGUUUGUUAAAACUAGUUAUAUUUCCUAAUUAAAUUAAGGCCUAUUCCUGGUUUAAGAUAAUCCCUGUUCAGGAAAACACCCCUUAAUGAUUUACUUCUCAGUAAGAGCUAAUUUACAUGUAAUAUAAAAUCUAACUGGUUUGUAAUAAGUGAAGAUGGUAAUGCUGUUUGUGGAGUUGUUUGAUGAUUUUCUUGUGAGAUCUUAGAAAAUCUGAGUUAGUCUGAGUCUCUUCUAAGUCUGUAAGUUCAGUUUCUGCUUGUUUUCUCUUUAAUUCGGUUCUUGUUUAUCUUUCAUUCAGUGAUUGUGUUUGUUAAUAGCAGCUGUUCAUCAUUAAUCACUCAAUCAUCACUUCAUUAUGUCACAGUGUGACUUUUUCCGUGGCCGGAACCCAAAAUUCGAGAAGAUUGGUUCCGCCCGGAGAUAGUUCCCGCCCGGACGAUUUACCACAAACACCGGAACUUCCGGUAGUCUUCCGAGGACAAAUCAAGCUAGAUGGAAUGCAGGUGCGUAAAAUUAAUACAGCGGUUAGUGAUUGGCUGAAGAGGAGAAAGGAAGGAGUAUAAAGAGAGCUCUGGAAAUACAAAUGGGGUCGUGUGGUUCAUGUUGUGUCAGUUGCUGUAGCGUGUGUGUUUGAAAUGCUGUGUUGUCGUUUCCCCGGGAGUCGGAGCUGGCGUAAAGAGGACUGAUGUCUGACAGAACCUGUAUACAAAGGGAACAGAGGUUGGAUUAACUGGGCGAAGAAGUCAUCGCUAAAAGCGAUUCACUUGGUGGAAAAGUGUGAUUGAAUACUUAUCAUAGCGGACGAGCUCCAGUUGGGAAUCGGACUGGGAAAUCUCGGCGAGACGAUAAGGACUGUGAGUAAAUGAACUACGUUAUUGUGAAGGAAAUCAGUAAAGUGUAUUACCAGAUCUUGUGUUGUGAGUCUAACACGCAGAGUUACGGCCCCACUGUAAAGGGAAGCGUGGGCGAGCCGGGGAGCAGCAUUGGAAGCAUAAAACACACGUGAGUUACAGUGAAGCUUGUAUUAUGUCUUGUGAGCCUAAAAGUGUAUUACCAGAUCUUGUGUUGUGAGUCUAACACGCAGAGUUACGGCCCCACUGUAAAGGGAAGCGUGGGCGAGCCGGGAAGCAGCAUUGGAAGCAUAAAACACACGUGAGUUACGGGGAAGUUUGUAUUACGCCUUGUGAGCCUAAAAGUGUACUAUUUAAUCUUGUGUUGUGAGCUGAAUACGCAGAGUUGUGGCCCCACGGUAGAGAGGAGCAUGGGUGAGCCGAGGAGAACAACGUAUAGCCGCCAGGGGGUCCUGGUGUCCAUCGUUUCCACACUUCAUCCCCUCCACCAAGAAAAUCGGCCAACCAACCGCACGGCGGAGUGUGGGGGAAGGUAUCUACAAUUAGGAUUUCCCUGAGGACAAAGUGACGGAUCUUUUCUGGAUGGACAAACGGGCAGUGGUGAAGCAUCUAUCUACUGGAGUGAGUAAACCACCUUACGAUUUGUGCUGUUGAUGAAGGGUUGUUGGGCUGAAGUCUGCAUGCAAUAACUGUUCUUUUGUGGAGCCUCUUCAAGGGUUCGCCCCUGUGCAGUAAUCUCUGGUACCGUGAGUAGAGGAGGAGCAAGGGAAGCGUUCGGCUUUACAUACACCCAUUCGAUGUCUCUCCAACACCCAGAGCGCCGCAGGUCGGCCGUGGGUCCCCUCGUACCCUCUUGGAUAUCCGUAAGUCAGAGCACAUUGUGUUCAACUCUCACCCUUUUAAGUCCACUGCCCCCGAGUAAAGGUUGUAUGGAGUGACCGUUGUGUUGAGUGAACCUGAGAAAGUAAAGUCCCAGUCUUGUGUGUAGGCCUGUCACGAUAACAAAUUUUGCUAGACGAUAAAUUGCCUCAGAAUUUAUCGCGGUAGACGAUAACAUUGAUGCUCCGGGACCAUUAUAAUAAUGCAGAAACACCUUUUCAAAGAUCUAUAAACUUUUAUUUCUAAACAAUAAGUAAUACUGGAACUGGAAGACAUUUUAAAUAUCCACAAGAAAUGAACAAAAUAACAGGAUGAUUGCGUUUUAGGUGCAUAUGCAUGUUUGUCGUGUUGCCACUUUUAAGUGCUACGUUUUUACCACAAAUGCGACAUAACGGCUCAUUCAGGUUUAGUGGUUCACCUCGGUCAUUAGGUUUAAAUCCAAAGUACUCCCACACUGCAGCUGUAGCGUUUGGUUUUGAAACUUGCCUGUUUACACGUGAUAAGUGUUCGAGAGAGACGUUUACACCUGGUAUUUAAAUCCGUCUCUUUUGUCCACUUUCGACCGCUUCUGUCCUGAAUACUGUGAGGGGGUGGUCUGUCGAGACGGUCAUUUAAACGCCAGCGGGAGUAAUUAUGAGUUUUUAUGGACCCAAACUAAUAUUAUGUCCACUGCUUGUUUAGUAAGUAAACAUGCUGCACAGUAUUUUCUACAUGUAUAUGUUAGAGCUUUCUCUGAAUUUUCAGCACAAUUGAUGAAAUAAGAUCGCAACUUUCACACGCUUGCAAAAUGAAACUGCGGAGAUCACCCGCUUUAGUUUAUCAAUGAAAGGCUAAAAAUAGCACUGUUCACCUUGUGUCAGAAAAGUCAGAAAAGACGUAAAACAUUGUGAUCCGAUCGAUGAAAACGCAUGUUAAUGACAAGUGUAAACAGCCUCUAGUAAAUCCAUCUUUUUCUCCAACUCUCGUCUCAACUAGUGUUUUCUCCUGCUACACUCCUCACGUGGCGCUCAUCCUCCUCAGACGCCUACUGUGAAAGGCUACGCCAGGAGUCCCGCCUCCCCACACAGAUCAUGCGACCCCUCCCCACACAGAUCAUGCGACUGACAAAUGACUGACGAGGGUUCACUCAUUGUCACUCGUUGCACGGAGUGGUCAUCCAGUCUCCUUGGUAGAGAGAGAGAGACAAGGAAAACAAACAAGCAUGCAAAUGUGAAUUAUCGCGGCCUAAAAUUUUUUUUUUAUCGAGCUCAUUUUAUUUACCGUGUGAUUAAUCGAUUUAUCGUUUAUCGCGACAGGCCUACUUGUGUGUUACUUACCUCUGCUUACAGCACGAACCUGAGAAAGAAACACGAACCUGAGGAAGAAAUACGAGUCGGAGAAAGCACAGGAAAGCCGUCACUACUGAAAACCCCGCAGUUUGGAGUAUACCUCCGUCAACCCCUGCUGGAGAAAAGGAGAGCGCCAUGGGUUCAAAUAACCAAGCUAAAGAAAUCCAUCCCCCUCCCUGUCCACGUGGAAGCUCCGCCUGGCGGCUCGAAGGAGUCAUUGUUUUAGUUUCCCUUUCCAUUUCCCCACUUCAAUUUUAAAUAAUUUAAUAAAGUUUCAUUUUAAUUACA